GGCUAGAUGGCUCAGUGGUUAAGAGCACUGACUGUUCUUCCAGAGGUCCUGAGUUCAAAUCCCAGCAACCA
rnacentral:tRNA from 1 species